CGUGUGCUUACAAGUAGUCAGAGCCCGUUAAUGGGUGAUGGCGUGCCUUUUGUAGAAUGAACCGGCGAGUUACGAUUUGAUGCAAGGUUAAGCAGUAAAUGUGGAGCCGUAGCGAAAGCGAGUCUGAAUAGGGCGUUUAGUAUUUGGUCGUAGACCCGAAACCAGGUGAUCUACCCUUGGUCAGGUUGAAGUUCAGGUAACACUGAAUGGAGGACCGAACCGACUUACGUUGAAAAGUGAGCGGAUGAACUGAGGGUAGCGGAGAAAUUCCAAUCGAACCUGGAGAUAGCUGGUUCUCUCCGAAAUAGCUUUAGGGCUAGCCUCAAGUGAUGAUUAUUGGAGGUAGAGCACUGUUUGGACGAGGGGCCCCUCUCGGGUUACCGAAUUCAGACAAACUCCGAAUGCCAAUUAAUUUAACUUGGGAGUCAGAACAUGGGUGAUAAGGUCCGUGUUCGAAAGGGAAACAGCCCAGACCACCAGCUAAGGUCCCAAAAUAUAUGUUAAGUGGAAAAGGAUGUGGCGUUGCCCAGACAACUAGGAUGUUGGCUUAGAAGCAGCCAUCAUUUAAAGAGUGCGUAAUAGCUCACUAGUCGAGUGACACUGCGCCGAAAAUGUACCGGGGCUAAACAUAUUACCGAAGCUGUGGAUUGUCCUUUGGACAAUGGUAGGAGAGCGUUCUAAGGGCGUUGAAGCAUGAUCGUAAGGACAUGUGGAGCGCUUAGAAGUGAGAAUGCCGGUGUGAGUAGCGAAAGACGGGUGAGAAUCCCGUCCACCGAUUGACUAAGGUUUCCAGAGGAAGGCUCGUCCGCUCUGGGUUAGUCGGGUCCUAAGCUGAGGCCGACAGGCGUAGGCGAUGGAUAACAGGUUGAUAUUCCUGUACCACCUAUAAUCGUUUUAAUCGAUGGGGGGACGCAGUAGGAUAGGCGAAGCGUGCGAUUGGAUUGCACGUCUAAGCAGUAAGGCUGAGUAUUAGGCAAAUCCGGUACUCAUUAAGGCUGAGCUGUGAUGGGGAGAAGACAUUGUGUCUUCGAGUCGUUGAUUUCACACUGCCGAGAAAAGCCUCUAGAUAGAAAAUAGGUGCCCGUACCGCAAACCGACACAGGUAGUCAAGAUGAGAAUUCUAAGGUGAGCGAGCGAACUCUCGUUAAGGAACUCGGCAAAAUGACCCCGUAACUUCGGGAGAAGGGGUGCUCUUUAGGGUUAACGCCCAGAAGAGCCGCAGUGAAUAGGCCCAAGCGACUGUUUAUCAAAAACACAGGUCUCUGCUAAACCGUAAGGUGAUGUAUAGGGGCUGACGCCUGCCCGGUGCUGGAAGGUUAAGAGGAGUGGUUAGCUUCUGCGAAGCUACGAAUCGAAGCCCCAGUAAACGGCGGCCGUAACUAUAACGGUCCUAAGGUAGCGAAAUUCCUUGUCGGGUAAGUUCCGACCCGCACGAAAGGCGUAACGAUUUGGGCACUGUCUCAACGAGAGACUCGGUGAAAUCAUAGUACCUGUGAAGAUGCAGGUUACCCGCGACAGGACGGAAAGACCCCGUGGAGCUUUACUGUAGCCUGAUAUUGAAAUUCGGCACAGCUUGUACAGGAUAGGUAGGAGCCUUUGAAACGUGAGCGCUAGCUUACGUGGAGGCGCUGGUGGGAUACUACCCUAGCUGUGUUGGCUUUCUAACCCGCACCACUUAUCGUGGUGGGAGACAGUGUCAGGCGGGCAGUUUGACUGGGGCGGUCGCCUCCUAAAAGGUAACGGAGGCGCUCAAAGGUUCCCUCAGAAUGGUUGGAAAUCAUUCAUAGAGUGUAAAGGCAUAAGGGAGCUUGACUGCGAGACCUACAAGUCGAGCAGGGUCGAAAGACGGACUUAGUGAUCCGGUGGUUCCGCAUGGAAGGGCCAUCGCUCAACGGAUAAAAGCUACCCCGGGGAUAACAGGCUUAUCUCCCCCAAGAGUUCACAUCGACGGGGAGGUUUGGCACCUCGAUGUCGGCUCAUCGCAUCCUGGGGCUGUAGUCGGUCCCAAGGGUUGGGCUGUUCGCCCAUUAAAGCGGUACGCGAGCUGGGUUCAGAACGUCGUGAGACAGUUCGGUCCCUAUCCGUCGUGGGCGUAGGAAAUUUGAGAGGAGCUGUCCUUAGUACGAGAGGACCGGGAUGGACAUACCUCUGGUGUACCAGUUGUCGUGCCAACGGCAUAGCUGGGUAGCUAUGUGUGGACGGGAUAAGUGCUGAAAGCAUCUAAGCAUGAAGCCCCCCUCAAGAUGAGAUUUCCCAACUUCGGUUAUAAGAUCCCUCAAAGAUGAUGAGGUUAAUAGGUUCGAGGUGGAAGCAUGGUGACAUGUGGAGCUGACGAAUACUAAUCGAUCGAAGACUUAAUCAA
rnacentral:rRNA from 1 species